ACAGAUGAUGAUGUCAGUGAACUGGUUCAGAAGGUCCCCGAUGGUUGCAUAUUUACCAUUGUCUCUGACUCAUGCCACAGCGGUGGCCUGCUUGAGAAGGCCAAGGAGCAGAUAGGCGACAGCACCAGGGAGAGUGAGACCCAGUCCGGUGAACCCGAGGAGUCAUCCGAUUCGCCGACUGGCUUCCGGUCCUUCCUCAAAGACACUGUCCGGGACGUGUUCAAGUCCCAUAGCCGCCGCUUCCGAAGCCGACACGGAAGCGACGACGAUGAGGAGGCAGAUGCACAGGUAGAAGCAGAAGCAGAAGCAGACGGGGAUGACCACACCAAGAGUCGGUCGCUGCCGCUGUCAACACUCAUCGAGAUGCUCAAGCAGCAGAGCGGGAAGGAGGACGUCGACGUGGGCUCCAUCCGGAUGACCCUGUUCAACUUCUUCGGGGAGGACGCCAGCCCAAAGGUCAAGAAGUUCAUGAAGGUCAUGUUCCUCAAGUACUGCGAGGGCAAGCUGGGCGAGCAGGACGGCGUGAUGGGCAUGGUCGGUGGCCUGGCCUACAAGCUCCUCAAGGCCAAGCUUGAAGGCGGCGACGAGGAGGAGGAUGCUUUGAGGCCGGCGAUGGAGCAGGAGGUUGGCGGGGAAGAGGAGGUGUACGCGGGGGCCAGGUCGUGGGCACCUACCAACGGCAUCCUCAUCAGCGGGUGCCAGAGCAGCCAGACGUCGGCGGACGCAACCACGGCGCAGGGCUCCUCGUUCGGCGCGCUCAGCAACGCCAUCCAGACCAUCCUUGAAGGGGAGGAGGGAGAGGUGACCAACAGGGAUCUCGUCAUGGGAGCACGGAAGGCGCUGGCCAAGCAAGGAUACGCUCAGCAGCCUGGCCUCUACUGCAGUGAUGAGCUCCUCCAUGUGGCUUUCAUUUGCUGA
rnacentral:rRNA from 1 species